UACGAAGGGGGCUAGCGUUGCUUGGAAUCACUGGGCGUAAAGGGUGCGUAGGCGGGUCUUUAAGUCAGGGGUGAAAUCCUGGAGCUCAACUCCAGAACUGCCUUUGAUACUGAAGAUCUUGAGUCCGGGAGAGGUGAGUGGAACUGCGAGUGUAGAGGUGAAAUUCGUAGAUAUUCGCAAGAACACCAGUGGCGAAGGCGGCUCACUGGCCCGGUACUGACGCUGAGGCACGAAAGCGUGGGGAGCAAACAGG
rnacentral:rRNA from 1 species